rnacentral:rRNA from 1 species
GACGAACCGUGCGAACGUUGUUCGGAUUCACUGGGCGUAAAGGGUGCGUAGGCGGGGCUUUAAGUCAGGGGUGAAAUCCUGGAGCUCAACUCCAGAACUGCCUUUGAUACUGAGGAUCUUGAGUACGGGAGAGGUGAGUGGAACUGCGAGUGUAGAGGUGAAAUUCGUAGAUAUUCGCAAGAACACCAGUGGCGAAGGCGGCUCACUGGCCCGUAACUGACGCUGAGGCACGAAAGCGUGGGGAGCAAACAGG